UGUUACUGCAGUUAUCCAAUCAAGAUCCUGCUCUUAUAAAAGAAACACAAAGAGCUGUGCUGGGUGUUUCGUCUUGAAAGGCGUUUGAGUCUUUUGGCUGUUCAAGAGCUGCAUUUAAUAGGAGAAAAGACUCAUCAUGAUCUCUUCACCUCGAGUUGAUAGACAACUGACCUGGUUGCCAAGAAUAACCCAAGUCAAGUGUUCCUAUCGAUUCUGCAAAGUGUUCUUUUUAUUCUUUGCUGGAUUACUCGUACUGACUUUUGGAAUCGCGAUGGCCGCUAUCUCUCGGGACCGUCUACUGUUAACCCUGGCAAUGACUAUUGUGUCCACUGCCCUUGUUUUUCUCGUCGCUCUGGGAGUGGUGGUUUCUGAUGAGGUGUGCGGGAAGCCGGAGGAACCUGCUGCUCUCCGGGCGGAAGAAUCUUGGGGGUACAGAAUUGAACACGUUGAUGUUUAGGCGGAAGCAAUGGACCUACCAAGAGUGAGCAGCUGCCUCUUUGAUCUUCUCCGCCACCUGGAUCUCCUUAGGUCUUUGGACCUUUUUAAAGGUUCUUGAGCAUUUUUUAAUGGAAUAAACAUUGACUUUUAAAGAGCU